UACCAGCACCCCGAGUGGUCGGGACGUUUAUUGGGCCUAAAGCAUCCGUAGCCGGUUCUACAAGUCUUCCGUUAAAUCCAACUGCUUAACAGGUGGGCUGCGGAAGAUACUAUAGAGCUAGGAGGCGGGAGAGGCAAGCGGUACUCGAUGGGUAGGGGUAAAAUCCGUUGAUCCAUUGAAGAACACCAGUGGCGAAGGCGGCUUGCCAGAACGCGCUCGACGGUGAGGGAUGAAAGCUGGGGGAGCAAACAGG
rnacentral:rRNA from 1 species